UUAUGCUCUCCCUCUCAAGACGCAUUAAAGCUUUUCUGUAGUAGGAUCCUGUGUGUGCCGCGUCGUUCCUGCUGGCGAGACGUAGCGCGGGACAUCUGGUGCCAAAAACCCGGGAAAGACCUCACCAUCGUCAGCACCUUCGGAGAUCCCUUGGCGACAAGGAGGAUUCAGAACUGCAGGACAAUGAAAAUCCCAUAUGGAUCCCAGGACGACUUACUAGGAGCAUCACAGCAAGUGAUCAAGAAGGGACUGGGACUCCUGCACCUCCUCACUCUUCUUCCAUGGAUGCCAGCAACGGUGCAGGGCAAGCUACGAUGGGGAAUAAUGUCAACCUUUCCACUCCCGAUGCCGGUGAUGUACCACUAACAGGGAUUUAGGGUUGGCCUAUUUACCUAAGGAUCCACAGGUUGAAAGACUAAAAGAAAAUAGGACUAUUCCCCUUAAGGGCAGCCUUUGUUUUGGCAUAUUCAACAAAACAUCUUUUGAUCUCCCUUGCAUUAUGUUAUGUAAUCAAUCUUCUGCUUGGUUAAGGGAGGCCACAUGGGGAACUGGUGAGGAGGACAUUGUGGCUAACGCCACAGUUCUCUAUGGUGGUGGCCUUACAUUGCGUUACUGGUAGCUGCACUGAUCUUACGCCCAUGGCGAUGCUACUUGGAGGAAAGGGCGAAAAGGGACGGUUGUCAUUUUCCUGGAUGGGGAACAUCAAACCUGCUGCCUCUGUCUGGACAGCUACUCAUAUAAAAUAUCGCAGUA
rnacentral:lncRNA from 1 species